GCUCGCUGUUUGUGUGCGGCCGCUAGCUGCGCAACUUUUCGCGCGAAACCUGAGCAAUUGUCCGUUGAUUUUGUCCGAAUGCCGGGCCAAAGGUUAAAGGGAGUUUGGAGGCACCAAUUACUGCGUUAAGGCUCCGGGGGGAAAACUCGGUUCACUGCUGGUUACUCAUGCGUGUUGCUCAUCUAUCAAACCUCGCGGAGGCGUGCGGGGCCUUGGCUGAGCCAAAGACGGCUGUUUGGCAAGCAGAAGCACCAGACGAAUUUGUCUGUUUUAUCCUCCUACCGCAGAAAGACAAACAGGAAUCGCGGGGACGGGGACGCUGUGUCCUGCGAGCCAACUUCGAGCGUCAUCGUGACAUUUGUGGCAUGCAUUUCUGGCAUAUCAGACGACCUCCGGCGGGAGACAGUGGGCGUUAGGUCGGGAAUCGAACCGGGGAUCAGUGGACGCGAUCGGCCAAUGGGAGGAACGCCUUCCAUCCACCGGGUCUACACGCAAGCCAGGCCGUACAACCGGUCUUGCCGGGCACGCUAAUAAAGUAUGCACCUAUCGUAGCUAGUUAAUUCUCGCAGAUCCUGCGUCCAAAAACACACAAGGUAAGCUUCGCGAUGUGAGCAGGGGAUCGGUGACGGACGUUUAAAGUUGAUGUUUGGUGAUCGGUGAUGGUGUAAUGUUGUUAAGGGUGGCCCACGCGGUGCUGUGUAAGGUGAUAUGAUAGUGAAAGGCCGGCAGGAGAAAUUGUUGGUGACGUCGGUGGAAAAUAUCUGCUAUUUUGAUGGUGCUGGGUUACAUGUCGUACCCGCCAUCUUGUGCUGAGAUUGUCUGUCAACAUUUCGUCGAAAAUAGAGCUGCUCGAGCGCUGGGGGCUGACCCCCAUUCUGCACCCCCGUCCGGACAAGAUGGACGUGAGGGCGCUGCAGGCCCCGGCCACAGACGAGGCGAGGGAGCACCCGCUGGUGGGGACCGGCACACGGCUGAACGACGGCGGGACCGGUCUGAAGGACGCACCGCCGCACAGUCGCAACAACUCCGGCGGCGGCACAGGCACGGGAACGGCAGGACAGAACAACAUCGGCAACUCGCUCAACGCGCACUCGCACACCAAGCUGGCGACCACCGACGACGACAGACCGUCCAGCUCGGACGGAGGGUUCGAGCAGACGCCGGACUCCGAGCUCCCUCCCAUCCGGCCCAAUCCCGCGCCGGCACCCACGGCCUCCGAGAGGGUCAUCAUUAACGUUUCGGGACUCAGGUUCGAGACACAGCUCAAAACUCUCAACCAGUUCCCCGACACCCUCCUUGGAGACCCCAGGAGGAGAAUGAGGUAUUUCGAUCCCUUGAGGAAUGAAUACUUCUUUGACAGGAAUAGACCAAGCUUUGAUGCCAUAUUGUACUUUUAUCAAAGCGGAGGCAGGUUACGAAGGCCUGUCAAUGUACCCAUCGACAUAUUCACGGAGGAAAUCCGAUUCUAUGAACUUGGAGAGGAAGUUAUUGACAAAUACAGAGAGGAUGAGGGCUUCAUCAAGGAAAAAGAAAUGCCCUUGCCCAAAAACGAGGUGCUCAAAAAGAUAUGGCUACUAUUUGAGUACCCAGAAAGUUCGAAAGCUGCGAGAGUGAUUGCCUUGCUGUCAGUGAGUGUGAUCUUGUUGUCCAUCGUGACCUUCUGUUUAGAGACCAUGCCACAGUUCAAAGAGUACAGAUACGUGAACACGACAAACUCCACAGACCCCAAGGACCUCACGAAAGAGGAGGUGGAGGUACCGGGGUUCGGAGACCCCUUCUUCGUGGUGGAGACUUUAUGCAUCAUAUGGUUCACGUUUGAACUGACGAUAAGGUUCAUUUCAUCGCCCAGCAAGCUAGCCUUCUUCAAGAACAUUAUGAACAUCAUAGAUAUCGUUGCUAUUGUACCGUACUUCGUCACGUUGGGUACCGUGCUCGCGGAUUCAUCGAAGUCCAAGAACCAAGCGACGUCCCUCGCAAUCUUGAGGGUCAUCAGAUUGGUGAGAGUGUUCCGAAUAUUCAAACUGUCCAGACAUUCAAAAGGCUUACAAAUCCUAGGACAGACAUUAAAAGCCAGCAUGAGAGAGUUAGGAUUGCUCAUAUUCUUCUUGUUCAUUGGAGUGAUCUUGUUCGCCAGUGCCGUGUUCUUUGCGGAGGCCGACGCGAACAGUACGCAGUUCGUGAGUAUACCCGAUGCCUUCUGGUGGGCCGUUGUGACAAUGACUACCGUGGGAUACGGAGACAUGUACCCCGUGACAGUAGGGGGAAAAAUUGUCGGUUCGCUGUGUGCCAUCGCUGGUGUGCUAACCAUCGCGUUACCAGUGCCUGUCAUCGUUUCAAACUUCAACUACUUCUACCAUAGAGAAACGGCAGCAGACGACGACGGGGUGGACUAUAAGCAUGUGGAUAGCUGCGCAUAUUCAGCUGACAUUGAAAAGGAUGAGGGCACGGAGUUAUCCGCGAACUUCAUCGAAAUGGAGGAUGCCUUGCCCGACGAGCGAACGAAGUUGAGGCAAAGUCGCAGCGACGCGGCGAAUUGCAUCGGCACGGCGUCAAGCAAAAUGAGCAGCGUGGAAACUGAUGUAUGACACUCAUGUAAUCCCACUGCUACAGGAUACAGUUUCAUUGUAUAGACAUUUUUAUUUUUGGAAGAUGUAAAUUAUAUCAUUGGGACAGGGAGAGAGAGAGAGGUCUCCAGGAUUCUUUGUUUAAUAUUCGGCUUCAGUGUCACCAGACUUUUGGCUUUCCUACCAACCGUUUAUAGUAUUGUAUAUCAUCAACUAGACAGCGUGUACAUUUUUGUUGGAAAACACCUCAUGCUGAGAAGUAUGCCAAGAAGAAAAAACACACCCUCCCAAAAUUUGCAUAUGAUACGAGGGUCUCGCUUGUCCCCCAAGGACAUUACCGCAAUUCCAACCGGUCUAAGUUUAGAAACGUCGUCAUCACCGGGCGUCCAGGAAGUACAAUCUGCAGCUUUCACGUGGAAGCUGUGCAAGGAAAUUACGGAGCACUCGCUGCGCAGAAAAUGCAAGAUCGUCCGCACCAUUAAAGGCAAAGAUGAAACGUGUCGUUACGGAGGUACAAUGCAAUGUCACAACCCAGCCGGCAUAUAUAGGGCAGGGCAAUGCUAUAUUGGGCUGAGGCCGGUGAGAUAUUCCCAUUACAUAGCAAAUAUUUGGGGCGCCAUCCAAAAUAGCUGCUGUAAUGCACCUCGAGACAGUUGCUGAUCUUCCUAGAGAUCUCUCACAUGUGUGGUGGACUGUUCGUGGCCCUAAAUGCCCCCCUCCCUACCCAACAUCAGGGAACAGACUGUUGCCCACAGUGUGCCCGAGGCAUAACGUGGCCACUUAAGAGUGGGCCUGUGUGUUGUUUCAAAGAGUAUACAGAAUGAGCUCUAAGGUUAUGAGGGGUCACAGGGGACAGGUUUUUCCACCAGAGGACGUCAUCAGCCUGUUGUGACUCGUAUCCCCAGGGGAGAGAGGUCAGAGGUUGCUGGAAAAGGUGUAACCCUGGAAGUAAAAUCUUGCACGGCAACCCCAAAUCAUCUUGUGUGAAACUGCCACCGAUAAAGCACACCAAAAAAAAUGCAACACUUUCCUCCAGCAAUCAACAAGUGAGAGCAGGUCCCACAAAUGGAAUGUUGUACACCAUACAUGGCUUUAAUGUGUCUGUGAGAGGCCGGAUUGCUGUACAAAAGGGAUUUAGGGAGAGUGUUUGUCAUCGUCAUCAAUGAGACAGUUCGCUGCAUUCCUCCAAAUUACAGUCAUCACUCCACCAGGCAGCAUAAACCACACGCCGUGCCGCCAUAUUUCACAUGUAGUGAUGUGUUGUUUGAAAAGAGCGGUGACGUAAAGCCGUCGGCAAAGUUUGCCCUGCCCUCAUGGCGUCAUCAUCGCACCCAGACAGAAAUGCCCAAACAGCCCGGCUCGACUGUUGAAGUGUGCCGCUGACGGCUCCCAGAAGAAAACAAACAUCCCGUCUUCUUUAUGGGCCGCCUUUCUGGGAAGGAAUCAGCUGGGUGCGAAUCCUCGCUGUUCAAACGUCGCCAGUGAACCAGAAAACACUCCCCAACACGAGUGCUGUUACUUGUGAUCAUUGAUGCAUCGUUCCUAAUAUCUAAUUGGAAAUGUGUAAAAAAGAUUGUCAACAUUGUGUAUGGAUUGAGAACACCACCCACCACCUACCCCCCUCCCCACACUGAGUUAAAGACAAGGGUCAGUGAGGAAACCAGUGGAUCAGGCAGCCUCAGUGCUUUUGUUGCCAGCUGUCCCGCCUUACAAUGAGCUUACAUACCCCACAUGCCGGCCUCUGUGCACUCUCCAAAUAUGCCCGGCCAACAUGGCGGGAUAUUUGAUCCACAGUGGGACUAGCUUGACUGGGAUUGCAUGCAGCUCUAACAGAGCAAAUCGUGGACCCAACCGCCGAAAUCCCCCCUAUCGAACCGCCACAAGCCAAGACUUCGAAACGACCACCCUUGCGGAAACAUUUAAUACCCCCGUGAAGCGUGGAAAAUUAUCUCGGCUGCCUGAGUGUAUCAGUUUGUCAACAGUCGUGUAUGGCUAUUCUCUGGGAUAAUGUUGGACUUGUAACGCCCCGAGCCGGCUUCAAUGCGAGGACGUCACCCUACACGGGCUUUCCGAAACACGAUACGCAUCUUGGAUAUUGCACCAUGUAUCAACUGAGCCAGCGAACGCGCUCAACCGACAAUGGAGCAAUGCAGGUGAUCACCGUGCAUCAAAAGACUGGGGGACGCCUUUAAGUUGCUGUCAAUCAAGCAUCAAAUCCCAUCAUGCAACAGGUGUGACAUCAACCGUUACCCGGGCAACCAUUACAGUUCUGUGCUGAGCAUCACACCAGCUUGACCCUGGUGCAGCCUGAUAGCUGAGACUUGGACAGCAGGCAUACCUGAAUCACCUGUGCAGCUGCAACUCUCCAACAUCUGGAGCAGCUACACAUCAUGCGCCUGGCAAAACCAGAGGCUUACAGCAACUAAACAGCAGGCUGCUGGUACACCUGCAGAUGUCUCACACCACACAGAGAAGCAGGAGAGCUAAUUUGACAUCAUCAACAGCAGCUGAAAAAAAGGCUUAAAGCAACUGAACAGCAGGUCACUUGGGCACCUGCAGAUGUAUUUCACCACACAGAGAAGCUGGAGAGCUUUGCACAGCAUCAACAGCAACUGAACAACCAGUUCUCCCACCUUGCAUCAGGUUACAUCAAUCUUGCAGCAAUCCUAGCAGACUUCACCUGAACUGCAUCUUGCCAUCUUACUCUCUGGUUGGACUCUAACUGAACGUUGUAUCCGUGACACUUGGAUUUUACAUCGUCGGAAGGCAUUGACUCAACAUCUGUAACAGUAAUGCAGUCAAUCUUCCAUGGACACUCUAAUCUUCACCAUGAGAAAGAUUCUUCACAUCCUGACAUCUGAAUAAGGAGUGAACUGGUUGACUGAAGAAUACACGCAGAUCCCUUACAGCACCUGGACAGCUACAACUUGCAGGAAUUUUAACAGGUGCAGCAGAGGAAUGUUGACAACUGGAUUUGCCUGACAUUAUACAGUGCAUAUGUAGAACUUUGGGCUAGACAUAUCCUUACCUGGCAAUGCCAGAUUCGGGCAUGAAAAUGUUCUUCAAAAACCUCUGCUAUGUGUUUUGCCGCAGUUGUUUUGUUCACCAACUCUACAGAUGAUGAGGAACUACAAACAUGUAUCUGACUGGGGGGACUUUGGUCAGAAAUCAUGGUGCAUUGUCUGCAAUUGGUUGUUCCAGAAAUGGAGAAGAAAUUAUGGGAGGGACACACACAAACCCGUCCACUUUUGAUUUUUAUUUUGUACAUUCAGUGGCCUUUGGCAAUAAUUUUGUGUACUGGUACCUCAGUUUAUAUUGGGCAAUGCUGCCUGGAUCGACAGGGUAACAUUCUUGUUGACAUUCUCAAAAAGUACAUAAAUCUCAGUCUGUUGUUUGAAACUGCGAGGGAAUUUUCCCCUUGAAAGUUUUUCAAACCAACUGCCUUACCCCAUUUUUUUCUCAUUUCUGGAAAUGCUCUAGCUUCCAACACACAAAAUCUCUAUAAGCCUUGAUGUGCAUUCAAAAAUGGUGUUUCAACAGAAGUGUGAUGUAUCAAGUCAAACCUGCACAUCGUGUAUUUGAUGAAAUUCAUUCCCGACAGUGAUUGACAUGUGUCUUGUAUGGUACUGUUACAAACAUGGAGACUUUACCUGGCUAAUAGUGAGUGUCUGAAUGUUGCAGAGAGGCCAUAUUUUGUGCUACACAUAGAAGGGAAGUAAUGCCAUAUGCACUCAAAAAACUAGCUUCUGAAAUCACUGUAACUUGUAUUUUGCCCUACAUUUGUAUGUCCCAGGGCUCAAAAUAUCACCUGCAUAUGCACUGCUUAGUGCACAUGAAAUUGGAGUUCUGUAGGUAUUUCUGAUGUCUACAAUGUACCUGCAACCUAACAUGCAGUGGUCCAUGGUAAAAACAGUGCUCAAAAAUACCUUGCAUUCCCCUUUAGCAAUGUUUAAAAAUUGUCAAACGUAGUACCAGUCCUAGAAACAGUUUUUGAAAACAGUAAUGUUAAUGGACUGAAAGGCAAAAUAAUUAGUGGAGCACUUGUGGAGGUCUGCAGAUAAAAAAAUAACAACUACCGGUGUUUCGAGCCCUGGUCAUACGUGGUUAAGUAACAAAAGUCCCAGUCCAGAUAGCUGCCAGUGUCAGUCAUGUGAGCUGAAUUUUUACUUGUGAAUGUGACUAGCAAAAAUAGUGUCUCACUAUAUUGCAUCUCUGUCAUAUGUAGCAAAACAAGUCCUCAUAAAAGCACCAACACCAGUCUUUAACUAAUAGAAUGUUUGCUUGUGAACUAGAGUCCACAGUGUUUUGCAAGAGAACGAUUCAUAAUAAAAAAAAUUGCACACUUUCUAUAGCAUGGCUGUCACACGUAGUAGUUACACUGGCCACUUUGUAACAGACAGUGGCAGAACUACUGGCAAAAAAGUGCUUCAUUCGGAGCCUGUUGACUUCUACACUAGAGAAUGUCGGCAUAUUUUUCUAUUGUGCGAGAAUGCUGCAGAUUCAGAGGUCUUAUUCCCAGGGUGCAGUGGAAUAACUCAAGGAAUCAUGGGAUAUGUCAAGGAAUUAUGGGAGUCCUCAGGGAAGAGCAUGUAGCACUUGGCAUUGUGGGAUGGCUGAAAGGGGAUAUUUGUAGUACACAUAUAAGCGCUGUUGCUUGAGGAAUUGCGAGAUUUCCUAGAAUCGUAAAAUGGUACAAUACUGCGUGAACAUGUUGAAUUGUUGUAAUAGUUUUGUAACAUUGAAUUUUCCCCACUUGGUACACUUUGUGAGAGUGGUGUUUUCCAAUGAUGAUGUACAUAGUAGUUUUUCCUAACCAAGGACGUACAGAAGUAUUCGUAUUCACAGUGCCUAGUCCUUCGCUUGCAUGUGGAUUAACAAAAACCUAGUCACAGUGUCGUCUUUUUUUCCGAAAGAACAAGAAAAAGCCGCCUCAAGUCACCCAAUGUCUUUGUUUAAGAUUGUGAAUCUGGAACAGCCAAUGUGAUAUUUUGUAUGGUGGAAGUUUUUACCUAAAUUGUGAUGAAAAAAAAGUACAAAAAGUGGUUAAGGUAUGGUUGUGGAUUUGUGUAAUGUAAAAGUAUUUUACGAAAGCCGUCAUGUGAAGGAAAAAAUGGCGUCACUGAGUGCAUAAAGAAUUCUUAUGCAACGAUUUGUCUUUGUCAUGGCAAAGGCAUAAUAUUAUGUAUAUUUGCCAGUUGGUGACCACAUUGGUCCGAGAGUGGAUUGUUAGCAUUGUGUUUCCCUAAAUCUGUUCUUCUAUUUCCACCAAAUUCAUACGUAUACAGUCAUGUAUGAUGCUUUGAAAUUCACUGUGACGAUCAUGCAAAUCCAUUGGUUAAGAAGACACCAGCAGCUUUGAGUUGAAAAAAAAAAUUGAAAGCUUACUGAAAAUUACAGAGUUUACCCUUUGGUAUACUAAAACUUUGAAUGUAAAUUUGUUUCAAGUGUUACACUUAUGUCUUUUUGAAACCUGUUGGAUUUUAAUUAUUUUUGUUGUCCCGUGGAUUAAAUCAUCAUGCAUAUCUUACUAUGAUUUAAUUUCAAGUUGUCCAGAAAUGACAGAAACUAAAAUGUGAACCAUACCUUUGUUUGGUAUUGAAAGAAAACAUAGUCUGUCUCACUCAAAUACAUGUAGAGACAUGUAUACACUCAAAGGGAACAAGGUGGACAUGAGAAAUAUAGACCUUCUGUGCUAUUUCAAAAAUAAGAUUGUUGAUAUUUACUCAUUGUGUGAUGUAAAAAGACUUACAAUAUAUCAGAGUCUGUUGUUUAAAAAUGAUUAUUAAUGUUUAUGUGUCUUGAAUGUGCAGAUUGUCAUACAUUAUAGAGUGGACAGCCAUGUUGGUAUCUUGUUCGUUAAGGAGAAUCUAAUUAAUAUCUAAUUAAUCAAGGUUUUACAAUUACGACUCAUUAGUAUAGACUUGUGUAGUUUUCACAGAUUCACAUUAAAUUUGAGAGUUGUGUUUCUGUGAAUUGUUAUCGACUUCUUUGAGUCCGUCAGAAGCAUGUUGUGUUAUAACUAAAUGUUAUUCUUGAGCUUCCACUUUUACUCAAGUUGUCGUUACUUGUGAAUUCAGUGUUCUCGACUCUUUAAUGUCCGAUGUUUAGGGUGGUCAAACUGUACCCUUCAUGUUCUUGUACAGAACUGUCUGUAGGUUUUUCUCUUUGGCAGUCUGCACUAACUUGUGUGUUAUUUUAGGUGCAGGGAAGUGUUCUUAUUGGAUGAUGUUGUAACCAAUGAGAAGGUCCAUGCAAGCUGAUUGGCUGAAGCAGCAGCCAAUCAAAGUGUACUGUACGCAUCUUUUACUAUAUUAUGACUUGACUGAUGACUUUUGUCUGUGGUCUCAUGUAAAAACUGACUAGAGAACUGCUAAACAUAAGGAAUUACCAUAAUGCCAGUGGAUAAUGAUGCAAAUUGCAUAUGAGGUGAAGUUAGUUGUGUGUUACAUGUAUGUGGCAUCUUGGUAAAUCCUUAUGUUUUUUCUACAGUCAGUCUUCGGUCCACACUUAUGUAACUAUGUAUGUAUUCACCUAGCGAGCUUGAUAUGUACAUUUUUGCUGCAUCCUGGUUCUUUCCGUGAAGGGACAGAGAGACUUAUUAUUAUUCCUUUGACCUCAGACAUCAUAUUUAGUUUCUGUUAUUUAUUCUUAUGUUUGUGACGGACGGAGGUUGGUUUGGGGUGUUUGGGGGACGUUAACGACAAAUGUAAUAUAUUCAGUCAUAAUUUAUUGCUACUCCUCUGUUGUUGUGGAGUAACUUUUUUUGUAUUAAGGACAGGUCUAUAGAUGGUUGGUAUAAUAAGGCGCUGUAACACUGUACAGAGGAAUUUGUAUAUACAUUGUAUGUAUCCCGACUGCACAUUUUUAAUGGUUUGGGGUGGUUCUAAAUAAGGACGUUAGGGUACGGGGUAUAUUUGAAGUGUAACUUGUGGCUUGACUACGGUUGGGAAUUUUGUACCGAGAACAAAUUAUUUCCCUGUAAGGGACGUGACAAUUUCUGUAUUUUUCAUAUAUUUUGUAAAGGUAAAUAAUAAUUAUAGAUGAUUGCAUGCCUAUACAGAGAAGAAUUAACUGUAUCCGUUUGCGUAACGUGGAUGGGUUGGAAGACAAAUUGUUCACAAUCCACAGUUUUUGUAUGCCUGUGUAAGUAUUGCUGAUUUAGCUUUUAAAAAGCGGUUUUUGAGCUGUAGUGCAGGACGUUUGUGUAGGCAGUAGCAGUUUACCCAGUAUAAGUGCAAGUUACAACAUCCGAUGGUGUGUUCGUUAUACAUGUUGGUACAUUACAAUUUUGUAAAAUUUUUUGGCAGGACAGAAA